rnacentral:rRNA from 1 species
GACAGAGGUGCCGAGCGUUAGGCGGAAUCACUGGGCUUAAAGCGUGUGUAGGCGGACUUGUAAGUACCUUGUGAAAUCCCACGGCUCACCCGUGGAACUGCUGGGUAUACUGCGAGUCUUGAGCCACUUAGGGGCUGUCGGAACAGGCGGUGGAGCGGUGAAAUGCGUAGAUAUCGCCUGGAACGCCAAAGGUGAAAACAGACAGCUGGGAGUGUGCUGACGCUGAGACACGAAAGCCAGGGGAGCAAACGGG